UACGUAGGGGGCAAGCGUUGUCCGGAUUUAUUGGGCGUAAAGAGCGUGUAGGCGGCUUUACAGGUCCGUUGUGAAAACUCGAGGCUCAACCUCGAGACGCCGGUGGAAACCGUAAAGCUAGAGUCCGGAAGAGGAGAGUGGAAUUUCGUGUGUAGGGGUGAAAUCCGUAAAUAUACGAAGGAACGCCAAAAGCGAAGGCAGCUCUCUGGGUCCCUACCGACGCUGGGGUGCGAAAGCAUGGGGAGCGAACAGG
rnacentral:rRNA from 1 species